GGGUUGUGAGGUUAAGCGACUAAGCGUACACGGUGGAUGCCCUGGCAGUCAGAGGCGAUGAAGGACGUGCUAAUCUGCGAUAAGCGUCGGUAAGGUGAUAUGAACCGUUAUAACCGGCGAUUUCCGAAUGGGGAAACCCAGUGUGAUUCGUCACACUAUCAUUAACUGAAUCCAUAGGUUAAUGAGGCGAACCGGGGGAACUGAAACAUCUAAGUACCCCGAGGAAAAGAAAUCAACCGAGAUUCCCCCAGUAGCGGCGAGCGAACGGGGAGCAGCCCAGAGCCUGAAUCAGUGUGUGUGUUAGUGGAAGCGUCUGGAAAGGCGCGCGAUACAGGGUGACAGCCCCGUACACAAAAAUGCACAUAUUGUGAGCUCGAUGAGUAGGGCGGGACACGUGGUAUCCUGUCUGAAUAUGGGGGGCCCAUCCUCCAAGGCUAAAUACUCCUGACUGACCGAUAGUGAACCAGUACCGUGAGGGAAAGGCGAAAAGAACCCCGGCGAGGGGAGUGAAAAAGAACCUGAAACCGUGUACGUACAAGCAGUGGGAGCACGCUUAGGCGUGUGACUGCGUACCUUUUGUAUAAUGGGUCAGCGACUUAUAUUCUGUAGCAAGGUUAACCGAAUAGGGGAGCCGAAGGGAAACCGAGUCUUAACUGGGCGUUAAGUUGCAGGGUAUAGACCCGAAACCCGGUGAUCUAGCCAUGGGCAGGUUGAAGGUUGGGUAACACUAACUGGAGGACCGAACCGACUAAUGUUGAAAAAUUAGCGGAUGACUUGUGGCUGGGGGUGAAAGGCCAAUCAAACCGGGAGAUAGCUGGUUCUCCCCGAAAGCUAUUUAGGUAGCGCCUCGUGAAUUCAUCUCCGGGGGUAGAGCACUGUUUCGGCAAGGGGGUCAUCCCGACUUACCAACCCGAUGCAAACUGCGAAUACCGGAGAAUGUUAUCACGGGAGACACACGGCGGGUGCUAACGUCCGUCGUGAAGAGGGAAACAACCCAGACCGCCAGCUAA
rnacentral:rRNA from 1 species